AUUGAACGCUGGCGGCAGGCUUAACACAUGCAAGUCGAGCGGGGUGAUGGUGCUUGCACUAUCACUUAGCGGCGGACGGGUGGGUAAUGCUUAGGAAUCUGCCUAUUAGUGGGGGACAACAUCUCGAAAGGGAUGCUAAUACCGCAUACGUCCUACGAGAGAAAGCAGGGGACCACUUGUGACCUUGCGCUAAUAGAUGAGCCUAAGUCGGAGUAGCUAGUUGGUGGGGUAAAGGCCUACCAAGGCGACGAUCUGUAGCGGGUCUGAGAGGAUGAUCCGCCACACUGGGACUGAGACACGGCCCAGACUCCUACGGGAGGCAGCAGUGGGGAAUAUUGGACAAUGGGGGGAACCCUGAUCCAGCCAUGCCGCGUGUGUGAAGAAGGCCUUAUGGUUGUAAAGCACUUUAAGCGAGGAGGGGGCUCUUUUGGUUAAUACCCAAGAUGAGUGGACGUUACUCGCAGAAUAAGCACCGGCUAACUCUGUGCCAGCCGCCGCAGUAA
rnacentral:rRNA from 1 species